rnacentral:rRNA from 1 species
AUUGAACGCUGGCGGCAGGCUUAACACAUGCAAGUCGAACGAGUGGCGGACGGGUGAGUAAUGCUUGGGAAUCUAGCUUAUGGAGGGGGAUAACUACGGGAAACUGUAGCUAAUACCGCGUACCAUAGGAUGAGCCCAAGUGGGAUUAGGUAGUUGGGGAGGUAAAGGCUCACCAAGCCGACGAUCGCUAGCUGGUCUGAGAGGAUGACCAGUCCCACUAGGACUGCGGCCGUGCCCAGACUCCUACGGGAGGCAGCAGUGGGGAAUAUUGCGCAAUGGGGGCAACCCUGAUGCAGCCAUGCCGCGUGUAUGAAGAAGGCCUUCGGGUUGUAAAGUACUUUCAGUCGGGAGGCGUUACCGACAGAAGAAGCACCGGCUAACUCCGUGCCAGCAGCCGCGGUAAUAC